ACCAACAAUUUAAUUAUCUCCAUGAGUAGUAUUUAAGGAGAUAGUUUCAGAACAUCUUUCCUUGUGACUCAUCCUCCGUUGGUGCGUCCCCGCCACUAUCUCAGGAUGAUCCGUAACCGUAUUGAACUCGAAUAACUCCACCGUCUAGAACACCGUCAUUAUUGGGGGCUAAGAACUUUGUGCUGAAUUGCUGGGAGAAGUGAAGAUCAAAAGAAAUCCCAAGGUCGUUGGAGGUUUGCGUGCAUAAGCAGUUAGGGAGGGAACCUAUGGUUUCCUUUCGCGUGUUAGCAUAUAGCUUCCUUUCUUACUUAAUAGUUGCGUUGUUGUUUGAUGUUACUGGUUGGAAGAGUCUAUUUUUGAACAUGCUCGUAAUGUGCUUGGUGCGUUCUGGGUUUCACCCUAAAAGGCAAUUGAAGUUGAAAAUGAAGUUCACUUUUGAAAAGAGGAAGAACACAAAUGGAGAAGGAGAUAAUGAUAAUGAUGAUGACCAUGUCAACCUACAUCAUAGAGCAGCUGGUACACCCGAGCAGGCUGAUUGACUUCUUGAUCACUGCUACUGAUAAUGUUUUGCUUCUUUUGACUGCAUGAGAGGUAUCUUUUUGGGAUGGGGGGGUUAUAUUUUGAUGUACAUAUUUUGGAUUAGGCCUCAGGCAUUUUCUCUUCAUUGUAUGCAUUUAUGUCUUAUGAUGCACAUUGCACAGUGGAAGCAUCUGUGGGUACUCUAAACUCUUUUAAACACCGAUAAUAAAAAUCUUUUGAUCAAUGCUUAUAAA